rnacentral:rRNA from 1 species
UUCUGGCUCAGGAUGAACGCUGGCGGCGUGCUUAACACAUGCAAGUCGAACGAAGCCAAAAGGAAGCUUGCUUCUUGAAGCUUAGUGGCGGACGGGUGAGUAACGCGUGAGUAACCUGCCCUUCAGUGGGGAAUAACACAGAGAAAUCUGUGCUAAUACCGCAUAACGUCUUCUUGCCGCAUGACAGGAAGACCAAAGGAUUUAUUCGCUGAAGGAUGGACUCGCGUCCGAUUAGCUAGUUGGUGAGGUAACGGCCCACCAAGGCGACGAUCGGUAGCCGAACUGAGAGGUUGAUCGGCCACAUUGGGACUGAGACACGGCCCAGACUCCUACGGGAGGCAGCAGUGGGGAAUAUUGGGCAAUGGGCGAAAAAGCCUGACCCAGCAACGCCGCGUGAAGGAAGACGGUCUUCGGAUUGUAAACUUCUUUGAUUGGGGAAGAAACAAAUGACCUACCCAAAGAACAAGUCACGGCUAACUACGUGCCAGCAGCGGC